rnacentral:lncRNA from 1 species
AAGGUGAGACCAGAGUGCCAGGGCACAGGCACAGCAGGGGUGGACAGUCUGGAGGUGACAGGUGGGGGCAUUCCGGCCACUUAAUCCAGUUAGGGUGGCUGGGUCGUGGCAUGGGCAGCCAAGAGCACUGGAGGAUGAAGCGGAUGGCAGAGAGCAUGGGAGGCUUUGGGAGGCUGUCAGGGCUUCACAUUUGUGUGGCUAAAUCCUGCACCACAGCCAGGUUCAGGGCAUAUUCGAGAAGGCCAUGAAGGCUUGGGUCCCCUGGCCGUGU